rnacentral:rRNA from 1 species
GACGAACGCUGGCGGCGUGCUUAACACAUGCAAGUCGAACGGUAAGGCCCUUCGGGGUACACGAGUGGCGAACGGGUGAGUAGCGCGUGGGAAUAUGCCUUUUGGUUCGGAAUAACUCAGGGAAACUUGAGCUAAUAACGGAUAAGCCCGUUAGGAGAAAGAUUUAUCGCCCAUUGAGGGGUCCGCGUCUGAUUAGCUAGUUGGUGAGGUAAUGGCUCACCAAGGCGACGAUCAGUAGCUGGUCUGAGAGGAUGAUCAGCCACACUGGAACUGAGACACGGUCCAGACUCCUACGGGAGGCAGCAGUGGGGAAUAUUGGACAAUGGGCGCAAGCCUGAUCCAGCAAUGCCGCGUGGGUGAUGAAGGCCUUCGGGUUGUAAAGCCCUUUUGGCGGGGACGAUGAUGACGGUACCCGCCGAAUAAGCUCCGGCUAACUUCGUGCCAGCCGCCGCAGUAA